rnacentral:rRNA from 1 species
UACGGGGGGGGCAAGCGUUGUUCGGAAUUACUGGGCGUAAAGGGCUCGUAGGCGGCCAACUAAGUCAGACGUGAAAUCCCUCGGCUUAACCGGGGAACUGCGUCUGAUACUGGAUGGCUUGAGUUCGGGAGAGGGAUGCGGAAUUCCAGGUGUAGCGGUGAAAUGCGUAGAUAUCUGGAGGAACACCGGUGGCGAAGGCGGCAUCCUGGACCGAAACUGACGUUGAGGAGCGAAAGCCAGGGGAGCAAACGGG